CUCAGGUAGAGUGCACAGCACAUAGUGGUGUCUAAUCUUGUGGUGGAGACAUCCCCACUUCCUUAGUACAACAUGCUCAGCCCAACGUCUGUGUAAAAAGUAGCUGUACUAGUGUCGUCCUAACUGGUUGUGUGUAUGACCACUCCAUUACUAUGUGCAGUGUGUAUGACCACUCCAUUACUGUGUACAGUGUGUAUGACCACUCCAUUACUAUGUGCAGUGUGUAUGACCACUCCAUUACUGUGUACAGUAUGUAUGA